GGGCUAUAUGAAGAGUUUGGUUCCAAAACGCAAUAAACGCCAUUUUUGAAAAAAAUGAGUUACUGCCAAAAUCAGUAUUAUAUCAGGUCAGUAGUUAAAAGUAAAUAAUUAAUUUUACGCAAAAUCCAAUACCCGCCGUGAUAUUCUGUCAUCUUUUCUCCCUUUUUUCCCAAAAUGCGACAAACGCCACUGCUCCUUUUUUACAGAAUGCAAUAAAUCCAUUUCUGAUAUUACAGCGGACCAUUCACGCAAUGUAAACAAACAUGGCGGCGCGCUGAGUACACGGAGUCCUAGUUUUCCUCAUCUACUUUGUACUUCGUGAUCAACAAACAAAACAAAAUAAUACUUUAAUAGCAUUGCCAAACCUGUGAUGGUUUUCUGUGACGGGAAAGAAACGUAAGCCAUCAACAGCUAAUAAUUUCUGCGAGAGGCACUCGGUUGCUUGUUCUCCAGACAGCAUCAAGCUUCUCAUGCUAAAACAUUGUGUUCUUAAUAUAACAAAGUAAGUAUUUUGGUUAAUGCCAUUAAUGUUUAUUUUUUAAUCAUUGUAUACCACUAGUCAACUAAAUAAAUAUAAAAUGGUAAAGAUGAAUGCACAUUUAUACAUUGAUUUAAUAGAUUUAUAGCAUUUUGAAAUAAAAAACUGUCAUGGAUUUAUUGCAUUUUGUGGAAAAAAGAAUUCGUUUUUAUAAUAAAUCUUUGAAAAUCAAGUUAUGGAUUUGAAUUUUUUAUGUUUUUAUAACCUAAAGAUGCUAUGUGAAAGUUUGUAACAGAAAAUACUGGUUUUCAUCUUGUCACUUUCUUGGUAUAGAAAACACGUUUUUACCGAAAUUUGUCAAAAUGGAUUUAUUGCGUUUUGGAACCAAACUCUUCAAUAUAUAUAUAUAUAUAUAUAUAUAUAUAUAGGUCUGAUAGAUAGGUCCUGACCUAUGAUCCUGACCCACACUCCUAAUCAGUAGGUGGCGGUAAUGCCACUAAAAGUUGUUUGCCAACUGCCAGUAAAACUCAAGAAGAAGAAGAAGGCUGAUGUCAGCAGGCUCCAAGGAAACUUCAAGUUUUAAAAGAUGCUGUUUUAAAACAGUUUCCUAUAAGGCCAAGGAAGCUGAUGUCAGAAAAUCUAUCAACAGUAGAAUCUGCAAGCUAAUGGCAUUAAGACACCAGGUGAAGAGCAAAAGCAUGGGUAUGUAAGUGGUUUACAUCAGUGAAGAUCCAAGGUGGACUCCUAACCAGGAUAAUGGACUGUUCUUUUGGCAAUUUUUUUUUUUUUUUUUGCUUUUUCACGGUUCCCAAAACUUCUUGAAAGUUUGUUUAUUAUUUAUUUGUUCAUUAUUGUCUGUGCAUUUUGUUUAUUGAUAUUGUCUUUAUUGAUAUUGUCUUUAUAUUGUAUAAUGGCACUGCUGAAAUUUUGAAAUGGAAAUUGGUAAUUUAAGUUGCUUUAAUUUAUAUUUUGUAUAUUUUUUGUUUAAUGGCACUCUUUUAAAAUGUAAUUUAUGUAAAUGCAAUGCAACACAUUUAUGUAAUGUAAUGUAAAGCCAAUCACAUUUCCUUUGACUGACCAUAUGCAAAACCUCUUGUGGUUUUAAUAGGCCUAUAGAGCUCUGUACCUCAAAUUGGGUUUAGUAUCUGUGCCUGAUUAAAAGAAAAUAAAGGUGGCUUUUGAUAGAUUA